rnacentral:rRNA from 1 species
GAUGAACGCUAGCGGCAGGCCUAAUACAUGCAAGACUAGGGGGCAGCAAUGUCACCGUCGCACGGGUGCGUAACGCGUAUGCAACCUACCUAUCACAGGGGGAUAGCCUUUGGAAACAGGGAUUAAUACCGCAUAAAGCAGGGGCUCCGCAUGGAGAUAUUGCUAAAGAUUUAUCGGUGAUAGAUGGGCAUGCGUCUGAUUAGUUAGAUGGUAGGGUAACGGCCUACCAUGGCGAUGAUCAGUAGGGGGCGUCAGAGCGUGGUCCCCCACACUGGCACUGAGAUACGGGCCAGACUCCUACGGGAGGCAGCAGUAGGGAAUAUUGGGCAAUGGGCGGAAGCCUGACCCAGCCACGCCGCGUGCAGGAAGACGGCCCUCUGGGUUGUAAACUGCUUUAACUGGGAAGAAAGAGGCUUUGCGAAGCAAGUUGACGGUACCAGUUGAAUAAGCCACGGCUAACUACGUG